rnacentral:rRNA from 1 species
ACUCCUACGGGAGGCAGCAGUGGGGAAUUUUGGACAAUGGGGGCAACCCUGAUCCAGCCAUGCCGCGUGCGGGAAGAAGGCCUUCGGGUUGUAAACCGCUUUUAGCCGGGAAGAAAAGGCAGGGGCUAACACUCUCUGUUCUUGACGGUACCGGCGGAAUAAGCACCGGCUAACUACGUGCCAGCAGCCGCGGUAAUACGUAGGGUGCGAGCGUUAAUCGGAAUUACUGGGCGUAAAGCGUGCGCAGGCGGUUCGUUAAGUCCGAUGUGAAAGCCCCGGGCUCAACCUGGGAAUGGCAUUGGAUACUGGCGGGCUUGAGUGUGGCAGAGGGGGGUGGAAUUCCGCGUGUAGCAGUGAAAUGCGUAGAGAUGCGGAGGAACACCGAUGGCGAAGGCAGCCCCCUGGGCUGACACUGACGCUCAGGCACGAAAGCGUGGGGAGCAAACAGGAUUAGAUACCCUGGUAGUC